GGACAUUAUAUGUCUGAGAUUAUACGUCAAAUAAAUACGACUUCUGACAUGACCUCAUACUGAUCCUGACUUGAUUAACAGCAUUUGUCAUAAUUAUUUGAAGUGGACCCUGAUCCACAAUCGGGGUUGUUCAUUUUAAUACAGAAUAUAUAUAUAUAUGAAAAUCCGAACCAUCAGUAUUGUUAUUCUUGGUACAACGCCCAAUAGUAACGCUACUUCAUGU